AGAGUUUGAUCAUGGCUCAGAUUGAACGCUGGCGGCAGGCCUAACACAUGCAAGUCGAACGGUAACAGAAAGCAGCUUGCUGCUUUGCUGACGAGUGGCGGACGGGUGAGUAAUGUCUGGGAAACUGCCUGAUGGAGGGGGAUAACUACUGGAAACGGUAGCUAAUACCGCAUAACGUCGCAAGACCAAAGAGGGGGACCUUCGGGCCUCUUGCCAUCGGAUGUGCCCAGAUGGGAUUAGCUUGUUGGUGGGGUAACGGCUCACCAAGGCGACGAUCCCUAGCUGGUCUGAGAGGAUGACCAGCCACACUGGAACUGAGACACGGUCCAGACUCCUACGGGAGGCAGCAGUGGGGAAUAUUGCACAAUGGGCGCAAGCCUGAUGCAGCCAUGCCGCGUGUAUGAAGAAGGCCUUCGGGUUGUAAAGUACUUUCAGCGGGGAGGAAGGGAGUAAAGUUAAUACCUUUGCUCAUUGACGUUACCCGCAGAAGAAGCACCGGCUAACUCCGUGCCAGCAGCCGCGGUAAUACGGAGGGUGCAAGCGUUAAUCGGAAUUACUGGGCGUAAAGCGCACGCAGGCGGUUUGUUAAGUCAGAUGUGAAAUCCCCGGGCUCAACCUGGGAACUGCAUCUGAUACUGGCAAGCUUGAGUCUCGUAGAGGGGGUAGAAUUCCAGGUGUAGCGGUGAAAUGCGUAGAGAUCUGGAGGAAUACCGGUGGCGAAGGCGGCCCCCUGGACGAAGACUGACGCUCAGGUGCGAAAGCGUGGGGAGCAAACAGGAUUAGAUACCCUGGUAGUCCACGCCGUAAACGAUGUCGACUUGGAGGUUGUGCCCUUGAGGCGUGGCUUCCGGAGCUAACGCGUUAAGUCGACCGCCUGGGGAGUACGGCCGCAAGGUUAAAACUCAAAUGAAUUGACGGGGGCCCGCACAAGCGGUGGAGCAUGUGGUUUAAUUCGAUGCAACGCGAAGAACCUUACCUGGUCUUGACAUCCACAGAACUUUCCAGAGAUGGAUUGGUGCCUUCGGGAACUGUGAGACAGGUGCUGCAUGGCUGUCGUCAGCUCGUGUUGUGAAAUGUUGGGUUAAGUCCCGCAACGAGCGCAACCCUUAUCCUUUGUUGCCAGCGGUCCGGCCGGGAACUCAAAGGAGACUGCCAGUGAUAAACUGGAGGAAGGUGGGGAUGACGUCAAGUCAUCAUGGCCCUUACGACCAGGGCUACACACGUGCUACAAUGGCGCAUACAAAGAGAAGCGACCUCGCGAGAGCAAGCGGACCUCAUAAAGUGCGUCGUAGUCCGGAUUGGAGUCUGCAACUCGACUCCAUGAAGUCGGAAUCGCUAGUAAUCGUGGAUCAGAAUGCCACGGUGAAUACGUUCCCGGGCCUUGUACACACCGCCCGUCACACCAUGGGAGUGGGUUGCAAAAGAAGUAGGUAGCUUAACCUUCGGGAGGGCGCUUACCACUUUGUGAUUCAUGACUGGGGUGAAGUCGUAACAAGGUAACCGUAGGGGAACCUGCGGUUG
rnacentral:rRNA from 2 species